UACGUAGGUGGCAAGCGUUGUCCGGAAUUAUUGGGCGUAAAGCGCGCGCAGGUGGUUUCUUAAGUCUGACGUGAAAGCCCACGGCUCAACCGUGGAGGGUCAUUGGAAACUGGGGAACUUGAGUGCAGGAGAGAAGAGUGGAAUUCCACGUGUAGCGGUGAAAUGCGUAGAGAUGUGGAGGAACACCAGUGGCGAAGGCGACUCUUUGGCCUGUAACUGACACUGAGGCGCGGAAGCGUGGGGAGCAAACAGG
rnacentral:rRNA from 1 species